rnacentral:rRNA from 1 species
UGGGGAAUAUUGCACAAUGGGGGAAACCCUGAUGCAGCGACGCCGCGUGAGUGAAGAAGUAUUUCGGUACGUAAAGCUCUAUCAGCAGGAAAGAAAUACUGACCUGGCGGUCAGCAGACGGUACCUGACUAAGAAGCCCCGGCUAACUACGUGCCAGCAGCCGCGGUAAUACGUAGGGGGCAAGCGUUAUCCGGAUUUACUGGGUGUAAAGGGAGCGUAGACGGCAGCGCAAGUCUGGAGUGAAAUGCCGGGGCCCAACCCCGGAACUGCUUUGGAAACUGUGCAGCUGGAGUGCGGGAGAGGUAAGCGGAAUUCCUAGUGUAGCGGUGAAAUGCGUAGAUAUUAGGAGGAACACCAGUGGCGAAGGCGGCUUACUGGACCGUAACUGACGUUGAGGCUCGAAAGCGUGGGGAGCAAACAGG